GGCAAUAGCCUUGGGGGGUGGGGCUGGCCAAAUUCGUCCGCCGGACUGGGAAUGCCGCGAGACUUUGCGAGGGGCCUCCGUGUGCCAAAAAUAGGCCACGGCCAAAGCCGCGCCCAAAAUUAACCCCCCGAAGGCUGGGGCGCCAAGUUCCUCCUGCGGAAAAAGGCCACAAAAACGGGUGGGCUAUAGCCUUGGGGGUUGAUGCCGGCCCACUUCAUCCGCCGGACUCGGAAUGCCGCGAGACUUUGCGAGGGGCCUCCGUGUGCCAAAAAUAGGCCGCGGCCAAAAAUAACCGCCCAACGGCCGCGGCGCCAAGUUCGUCGAGCGGAAAAAGGCCACAAAAACGGGUGGGCUAUAGCCUUGGGGGGUGGGGCUGGCCAACUUCGUCCGCCGGACUCAGAAUUCUGCGAGGCUUUGCGAGGGGCCUCCGUGUGCCAAAAAUAGGCCACGGCCAAUGUCGCGUCCAAAAAUAACCGCCCGAAGGCCGGGGCGCCAAGUUCGUCCAGCGGAAAAAGGCCACAAAAACGGGUGGGCUAUAGCCUUGGGGGGUGGGGCUGGCCCACUUCGUCCGCCGGACUGGGAAUGCCGCGAGACUUUACGAGGGGCCUCCGUGUGCCAAAAUAGGCGACGGAUAAAGCUGCGCCCAAAAAUAACCGCCCGAAGGCCGAGGCGCCAAGUUCGUCCAGCGGAAAAAGGCCACAAAAACGGGUGGGCUAUAGCCUUGGGGGGUGGGGCUGGCCCACUUCGUCCGCCGGACUGGGAAUGCCGCGAGACAUUGCGAGGGGCCUCCGUGUGCCAAAAAUAG
rnacentral:lncRNA from 1 species